rnacentral:rRNA from 1 species
ACGGAGGGUGCAAGCGUUAAUCGGAAUUACUGGGCGUAAAGCGUGCGUAGGCGGAUGCUUAAGUCUGAUGUGAAAUCCCCGGGCUUAACCUGGGAACUGCAUUGGAUACUGGGCGUCUAGAGUAUGGUAGAGGGUGGCGGAAUUUCUGGUGUAGCGGUGAAAUGCGUAGAUAUCAGAAAGAACACCAAUGGCGAAGGCAGCCACCUGGGCCAAUACUGACGCUGAGGUACGAAAGCGUGGGGAGCAAACAG